rnacentral:rRNA from 1 species
AGUGAACGCUGGCGGUAGGCCUAACACAUGCAAGUCGAACGGCAGCACAGUAAGAGCUUGCUCUUACGGGUGGCGAGUGGCGGACGGGUGAGGAAUACAUCGGAAUCUACUUUUUCGUGGGGGAUAACGUAGGGAAACUUACGCUAAUACCGCAUACGACCUACGGGUGAAAGCAGGGGAUCUUCGGACCUUGUGCGAUUGAAUGAGCCUAUGUCGGAUUAGCUAGUUGGCGGGGUAAAGGCCCACCAAGGCGACGAUCCGUAGCUGGUCUAAGAGGAUGAUCAGCCACACUGGAACUGAGACGCGGUCCAGCACCCUACGGGAGGCAGCAGUGGGGAAUAUUGGACAAGGGGCGCAAGCCUGAUCCAGCCAUAGCGCGUGGGUGAAGAAGGCCUUCGGGUUGUAAAGCCCUUUUGUUGGGAAAGAAAAGUAGCAGGUUAAUACCCCGCUGUUCGAACGGAACCCAAAAAAAAAGCACCGGCAACCUUCUU